rnacentral:lncRNA from 1 species
AAAAACAAAUUAGCACAUAUAUGAAUAGACCCUCUAUCCAUUGUUCAAAUACAUGAGAUAUAAUCUUGUCUAUCACUAACUCUUUGAGAGUUGAUAGGAGUAACAAGGAGUUUCAAACAAUUUUUCAACAAAAAGGCAAACCAGCUCACAAUGAUUGCAGCAAAUACUCUAAACUACGAGUGGUAUACACAAGCAAAACCUAUGACAAGAUAGUUCAUUUUGACUGCUAUGCGGGAUAUGUUCAGUUCAUUUUGAAACGUGGAUCUUUGGAAAGAAAAAAAUGGAGGAUUUAUUUUACUGCUGCUUGCACUGCUUAUAGACACAUGAAGUGUGAAAUGUCAAUGAACUAUUCAAGCAGGGGUACGGAGCUGAUAAAAAAUGUGCCCAAGUAGGAGAAGCUCACUAAGGAGAAGCUACCGAAGAUGGUGUACAACUACUAUGCCUCUCGUGCAGAAGAUCAGUGGACACCUAGGGAGAAAACAGUAUGCCACGGUUAAUUUCUAGAAGGGUGAUUUUUUAAUGUAUAUAACACAGACCACAAAACCCCCACAAAAAUGAUGUAGCCCAGCUAGCACCGGCCGAACCUUCCCUCAUCACAAUAACUCCCCUCAAAUUAGCUCAACUGAACACUAUCUAAACUAUGGUACAGGGAACAAACGUGUAGGCAGAGAGAGAAGCAGAGUCAUGCACCUGCACCCCUUGGCUGUGGCGCACAUGACCAUGUCGCCGGUUGGCUGCACCUCGAUGCGUAGGCUGGAUCCCUUCCGGAGCACAAACCUCGCCUAGAACCUAAACCCCACAGAGAAAGAGGCACACCCAGGUCAACCCACGAUCGAAUUCGAAGCCCAACCAAAUUCAUAACAAAAAAGGCAGGGCAGAGUAAUUUAGCCUCUCAGCACUAUGAGAAGCAGGAAUAUAAAAAUAAGCAUCUCCUUAGUCUAGACCAUAGAACAUAUAAUAUGAAAUACAAAUAGAAAAGAAGAAAAGACAGAACACACAAUAUAGCGAGACAAGUACCUUUGAUGUGACACUUGACUGUCCUGGUAUAGCAAAAUCUUCAUCGUCGUCGUCGACCUUUUUGAUCCGUUUAACAUAAUCUUUCGAGUUCUACAAUAACCAACAUUAAAGGGUUAGAAAUAAUUUCAAAUACAAGUCUGCACAUGCAGGUACAUAUGAAAGUUCACAUAGAGGAUUACUCUAAAAGUUAUUGAUUUGAUG